ACACGACUACAUUAGAUACCCGCGUAGUCCAGGGUGUAAACGCUGCAGACUUGGUGUUGGAGGCCCUUUGGGGGCAUUCAGUGCCGGAGAGAAGUUGUUAAGUCUGCUACUUGGGGAGUACGUCCGCAAGGAUGAAACUUAAAGGAAUUGGCGGGGGAGCACCGCAACGGGAGGAGCGUGCGGUUUAAUUGGAUUCAACACCGUAAACUCACCAGGGAAGACUGUUACAUGAAGGCCGAGAUGAAGACUCUGCUAGAUUUUCAG
rnacentral:rRNA from 1 species